CGUGUUGGGACACAGGGCGCCCUUGGCAACGUUGGCCGCAUUGCCCCAUCCCGGCCCGAAGCAGAGCUGCCGGGCCCGGCACGUCCCGCAGACUCAGGCUUGGCCCCGCGCCCCGUACUCGGCUCCGGGCUGACCCCUCCACCUCAUCGCGGCGGUGGGCAGCAGCCAUGGGACUCCGCAACCCGCGGCAGGAGCCGAACGUCGGCCUCCGCAACCUAGGCUGAAAGGGAAGCCGUGUGCGUUGUCCUGAAGCGCAGACGCGAUGGAGACCACCCAGAGCCGCGCAGGAGAUCCAGCCUCAGAGAAGGCAUUGGUUUCUGACUUUGCCAAACCCAGGCGGAGAGUCUCUCCAGGAAGAAAUGAACUUUUUCUCCCAGAAGUCUCCCAACCUUUCACAAAAAUAUAAAACCGUCUGGAAAAUGAAGCAUCUACCUGGACGGAGAGACACAGUUGAAAAUAAAAGAUUUGUUAGCAAUAGAAUUCAAAGGACAAAAGAAUCUGUGUGAUGCUACAGAUGAAAGCUCUACCCAGAGCCAUAUAUUCAAGGGCAAAGAUCAUGUUUUAUAAUGAGAAGCAGCAUGAUAUGAUGGAAGGAGGUGAAGUUUUGCAGUUAAACAGAUUGUCCCAUCUUAUGGACAGUGAAACUGAGAAUUAAUCAGAUGAAGUAACUUGUCCAGUCAUACUGCUGUUAAGUGAUGAAGUCUGGAUGAUAAUCCAGGGCAUAUAGCCAGAUGACUAUAUACCAGAGCGUCUUAUACCAAGGUGCAGCCAGAUGACUGAGUUCUCGUCAAUGGAAGGAAAAGUGGUGAUAUGUAGCGUUUCUGAGCUUGGUGCAUAAAAAAUCUCCCAUGAUAGGCUCUCUAUGCUCUUUUCCUUCACAUGAAUUGAUGCAGAGGGAUAUGGCAACAUUAGAAAUUGUAUGUUGAAGCUGGUGGAGCCACAAUAUGGAAGGAGCCUAGGACCCUGAAUCAGUGCCCAGAGGCGAGCCCCAGUUAAUCAGGAACACUCAUUUUGAUGAGCCCACAUAUGCCCCCAUCUCCACCUUGACACUGGAAUUCUGAUUAAAAUGAAACAGCAAUAGAACAGAGGUCAAGAACUUGGAAGGAUUCAUAUGGAGGAAACCAGAAAGAAGUGAUCCCAAAGCAAAGCUGGUUUUCAGCAGCCUCUCCGCUCCCAAAUGCGACUGGCAUCAAAGUCUAAUGAAAACCUGUUUGCGGACACUGGAUCCAAUCCAAGGUACACCAUUGGCAUAUUCUAGACCCCUUGGGACAUGACUCAUAUAAAAAACACAGGGCUGUCAUCGGACGGCUGGUGGCUCAAAUAAAUCAAAUUUACUUUGAAAACUGAGGCAUACCAAAAUUUUAUUAGGUGAAACUUUGGCAUUUCUUAUAGCCAACUUGCACAUAUAUAUUUUUAUUACUUACAGCAGUUAAAAGGUAUGCUACCAAUCAUAUGCAAAACAAGAAAAGAUUGCAGAGUACAUUUUUUACUGGGUGGUAGUAGGAACUACCCUUUAAAAAAAAAAAAAAAGGAACUCCAAAUAAUAAGUUAGUAAUAGGUGGCGUCAAAGAAUGCAGCCCAGUGUUUGCGUAAUUCACAAGCCCUAUGGUGCAAACUUCUCCAUUGCACUUCCAUUUAGCACACCCCAUAGCUAGUCUUAAAGAAUGACUUUUACCCCAAAGUGAUUUCUUGCUCACUAAAACUAUCAACUGUACCACACUUCAUGGGAUGAUGACAGAUAGUGUUUAUAAUGUGCAUUUAUGAGAAACAGACACGAACAUACACAAGUUCCUGAUGACCUAAAAAGGAUUAAACUUUAAGCUUCAAAGGCCUACUACUGCUUAUGCUCUAACUUGUGCACUGAGUUAGUUUCAAAUUCCAGAUUAGGAAAGGUUAGUCUUCUCUUGAAUGAAAUAUUAGAAACUUCUUUUUUUCUAUGUCUCAUAUGUAUUUCUUAAAUAUGUUAAUUGGUCAUAAAAGACAUACCAGAUAAAAGGUCCUUGUCCAAUGACUAGCAUAUUUACAAACUAACAUUUACUUUUAAGGCCACAUCUAUCACAUUUUAAAAGUUGUGGUGGUUUAUUUUCCUAAAGUGGCAACUACUUCAAGAGUUUUACGUGGUGAUAUGUGUUCUAAUGCGUAUAUGUUUUAGUACCCACACACACAGAUACCAAUUUUACCUUGUAAUACAUAGAUUUCGAUGGGCAAGCUUGGACCAGAACCUCUCAAAGAUUUUGGUGCACCUACAAUGUUCACUUUUAAAAUACUGAGUUUUGCAUUGAAUUCAUAUUGUUGUUUUAAAAUUAUCAAACUGGUAUAAGUCACAUAUAAUUGUAAAUAAAUUCAGAAAAUGUGUAUCAUCUAUUAAAAUCGUAAUGUCGUGUAUUUUUAAAAGAUAUUUUAGAAAUAUAUUUGGAUAGGGGUGCCUGGGUGGCUUAGUCGGUUGAGCGUCCGACUUUGGCUCAGGUCAUGAUCUCACAGCUUGUGAGUUCGAGCCCAGCAUCAGGCUCUGUGCUGACAGCUCGGAGCCUGAAGCCUGCUUCAGAUUCUGUGUCUCCCUCUCUCUCUGCCCCUACCCCUCUCACACUCUGUCUCUCUCAAUCUCUCUCUCAAAGAUAAAUAAACAUAAAAAAAAAAAAAAAGAAAUAUAUUUGGAUAUAUUCUUUGGAUAUAGCUUUGAGUAUUUCAGUAUUGUUCUAGGAAAGACCACCCACCCUUUUUCCUCAUAAUUCACUGGGUGAGCUGUGGCUGGCAUCGCAGGGAAACUCAACUUUCUCUGUGUUGUAGUGUGUUCUUAUUGACUGAGAAAAAGGUCAACUUAAAGGCUCAAAUCAACUAUUUUGACUGAAUUUACCCAUCACUUAAGGAAAUCACUUACUCUGAAUACAGGUUUGACCAGUAAUUUGUCAGAACAGAAAUCACUUUAUUUAAAAUGGCUCAGUAAUUUUCACACAUAGAUGUAGCCUCAAUAAAAUCUGUGAGAAAGGAACAACAGACUGAUCUGGCCAUGGAAGGCACCAAAGGAGCACAUCUGUACUCAAUGAACAAGUAAUUGUUCAAGGCUUAUUACCUGCUGAGCAUGGUGCUAGAACCACGAAGAAUGGAAAAGAAGCAUAAAAAAGUGUUCCUGUCCUUAAAUUGCUUGCAGUCUGGUUGAGAAUUCAUGAACAAUUACAGGAAUUAUCCCAAGAGCAGUACAAGACACUAAGUCGAUCCAUGCCAAAUAGUGUAAGUAACACAUCUAUUUCAUGGAAGUGGGCUCUGUUCAGAGUUUGGAAGGACAGUAUUGUGAUGGGGAGAAAGACAGGAGUGGUUGAGGCCAGCCCUGCAGGAGCUGGCCUCAUUCAUGGCUGCAGAUGCUUGCUCCUCUCCCCCAUCCCUACCCUGGCUUCAAUAGCCUUUUCCCUCUGAACAGAUUACUGGUUUUGACUUGAUACUUUACUUUUAAUUUUGUUUAGAAAACAAGUAAAAUUAAAGGCAAAGUGUGAACUGGGAAAAAGAUUUGCCACAUCUCUGAUAAGAGGUUAAUAUCUUAAGAACAAUUAGCAGUUAGGAAGGUGAGGCAAAUACACCAACAGAAAAAUAUAUGAGCAAAAGACCACAAGUAGGCAAUCAACAGAAGAAGUACACUGUGUCAGUUACAACAUGACAAAAUAUUUAAUUUCAUUCAUAAUUAAAGCAAUGCAAAUUAAAACUGUAAAGGAAUAUAAUUUUUGCCAAUUUUGUUCACAGACAAUGAGAGGAUAUAUUGAUGUAAUAAUUUUGGAAAGCACUUGGCAGUCUGUAUUAGAGGCCUUAAAAUAUGUAACAAUCUUUGACCCAGCAAUUCCAUUUCUGGGAUAUUUUCCUUUUUUUAAAUUUUUUUUUUUUAUUUGAGAGAGAGAGCGUGUGAGCAGGGGAAGGGCACAGGGAGAGGGAGAGAGAAUCUUAAGCAGGCUCUGUGCCCAGCAUGGGGCCCGACAUGGGGCUUGAUCUCACAAUCAUGAGAUCAUGACCUGAGGUGAAAUCAAAAGUCGGACACUUAACCAGCUGAGCCACCCAGGCACCUUUGAGACAUUUUCUUUAGGGAAUAGUUAUGGAUGUGUUCAGAGGCUUACAGAUAAGGACGAUUACAGCAUUGUUUAAGAUUUAAAAAUUUGGAAAUAACACAAAAAUCUCGUAACAGAGGACUGUUCACGAUAAUUAAAGUUUAAAAUUAACUUGUGAAAUAAUACUUAGUGAUAUUGAAAUAUGUCCUAUACACCAAGAUACGGUGUGGAUUAUAAAACAUUAUAUGGAAUACAUUACACAUUUCAGAAAAAACAGAAAAAAGCCUGGAAAACAAUACAUUACUAUUUAGCCAGUGUAAUAAUAAUUCUCUGGGUGGUGGGAAUACAGGUUACUUUAUCUGAGUCUAUUUUUUAAUUCAAAAAAUAUACUGUUUUUGUUACUUAAGGAAAUAUAUUCACAAAACAGUGCUACAAAGAAGAGUUUGAGACUAAAGCUACUUGUACAUAUUGAAGAUGGUUUUCUGAGGCUACAGUAUGGAUGCUUGCUAUGCAUUGCUUAGAAAUUUUUCUGGAAUUUAUUAAAUAUGCAUUUCCAGCAGGGAUUUAUGAUAAUGUCAUUUCUUUUCAUUGUAGUUUCAACAAGAGGGAGCAUUUAAUAAUUUUAUAGGGUAAUGCUAAUUUACUUCUAAAUUCAUCUCUUGGAAUUUCUUUUUUAAAAUGCUGCAUUUGUGCUUGUUUCAUCAAAGUGACAGCCAGCAGUUAAAUUUUUUAAAUCACAAUUAAUAGAUAUAAAAGUGAAACAUUUAAUGUGUCUAAUUGGACAAAGUUUUAUAGUUAUUUAUUGACAGAUUUAAGAGGCCUUUUCUAAAACAUUCUUGGUUCUGGAAAACUGGAAACAAGAAGAUAUUUGCUGAAUGUUCUUCCUGUAUGACUUACCUCAUAAGAAUUUAAGAGCAGCACAAAAACUCCAAGAUCUCACCAAGCUUUGCUUUAUGACUUUGAAUGUAACUCAUUCUUGACUGCCUUAAUUAACAGAAGAAAUAGUGGAGGUGAUCACAUGCAAUAAAUAAUCAAAAUCUGUCUAUUAUUGUCCUUGUAACACAUAAUUUUCAACAAAUAUGCCAAUUAUAUCAAAUAUAAUUGCUACGCAUUGCUUAGAAAUUUGACUAUUGAAAAUAGGAUGAGUUUUGGGGGCAUACAGAAAUGUUAGAUAUCUAAGGAAAGUGGAUUUGAAUUUUCAAUAAUUCUGAGGAGAAACAAGAUAGAUCAUGGAUUUAAAAAAGUUGUGCCAUGUUUCUUUGCCAGUUUGGCUCCCAAUUUUAACUCAAAACAUAAGGAUAUGAUUAACUUGCAGAAAUUAUUUCUUCUGGAAGAGUGAAAGUUUCUUCUCACUCAUACUUACUCUGGAAAUGGAAGGGCUUUCCCAGACUGUCUCAGUGUGACAGAUUUUCUUUAGGUUGAAUCAGACCUUUGGGCCAAAGUCCUUUAUCAACCAGUCAACAGUAGAACUUUUCUCAGUCAUGAAAAAUGAUCUUUUUCUCUUUAUAAGCAUUCUUGGGAAUGGGGGAAGUUUUCUUCAGGUUUAAUUUAUAAGUUAGAGGAACAUUUUUUUUCCAUGGUUAGAAUGGUUUUGUUUGUUUCCCAUAGAUUAAAAACAAGAACAUGGACAGUCUCUGAGGUUUUUAAUGAAGGAACCGAGGAAGAAUAACCAGAGUUGUGCUUAUUCAAGUAAACGGAACCCAGUGGUGAUAAAACAAGAUCCUUUGCUGAGGGAAUUCUCUUUUGUAAACUAGACUCUACAUCAAGUGAUUCCAAAGCCUGAUCCCAACCUUGUCACCAACUUGACCCCUCUUCCAACCUCAUUAGUCAAGCAAAACUCCUUCUGGUGACAAUCUGAAGCAAACUGUUUAGCUCUAAGGGCUGGAUAUUAUAAUGAUUUUACCCUGUAGCCUGACUUGUAACUACAGUUGUCUGGGACCCUCACACAGCUUCUUUUUCAGAUAGUUCCCUUGCAUUUAUCUUUGCUCCUCCUCCACAGCUGCUUUCCCCUCCUCAUUAAAGAUUUAAGAGCAGCUAACUAUGGAGAGGUGCUCAUAUGGCUGAAGUUUUACUAGUUUUGUAAAAGACAGUGUGGCAUACUCAUGUUCCCAAGCAUUACAAAUAAAACUAGAAUGCAUUUAGCAAAAUUAAAGGAAGAAUGGUGAGGAAAACACUAUACUAGGAAUCAGGACACUUACAUUCUUGUAUCUUCUCAUCCAUGAGCACUGUCAUUAAACUGGUCAUUUAAUGACAUUUCUUCCUGCCUCCAUUUCCUUCUCUGAAAGAAAUAAGAGCUGUGCUAACCAUGAUCUUUCCAGAGUGAG